rnacentral:rRNA from 1 species
AACGAACGCUGGCGGCAGGCCUAACACAUGCAAGUCGAGCGAACACUUCGGGGUUUUCGGCGGAUGGGUGAGUCACGCGUGGGAAUAUGCCCUUCUCUACGGACUAGCUCUGGGACACGGGGGACAUUAGCGAACACGUGCUUUGACCGAAUGAUUUAUCGGGGAAGGAUUAGCCCGCGUUGGAUUAGGUAGUUGGUGGGGUAAUGGCCUACCAAGCGGACGAUCCAUAGCUGGUUAGAGAGGAUGAUCAGCCACACUGGGACUGAGACACGGCCCAGACUCCUACGGGAGGCAGCAGAGGGGAAUCUUAGACAAUGGGGGCAACCCUGAUCUAGCCAGGACGGGUGAGUGAUGAAGGCCUGAGGGUUGUAAAGCGCUUUUAGCUGGGAAGAUAAUGAUGGUACCAGCAGAAGAAGCCCCGGCUAACUCCGUG